AUUGAACGCUGGCGGCAGGCCUAACACAUGCAAGUCGAGCGGAUGAAGGGAGCUUACUCCUGGAUUCAGCGGCGGACGGGUGAGUAAUGCCUAGGAAUCUGCCUGGUAGUGGGGGAUAACGUCCGGAAACGGGCGCUAAUACCGCAUACGUCCUGAGGGAGAAAGUGGGGGAUCUUCGGACCUCACGCUAUCAGAUGAGCCUAGGUCGGAUUAGCUAGUUGGUGGGGUAAAGGCCUACCAAGGCGACGAUCCGUAACUGGUCUGAGAGGAUGAUCAGUCACACUGGAACUGAGACACGGUCCAGACUCCUACGGGAGGCAGCAGUGGGGAAUAUUGGACAAUGGGCGAAAGCCUGAUCCAGCCAUGCCGCGUGUGUGAAGAAGGUCUUCGGAUUGUAAAGCACUUUAAGUUGGGAGGAAGGGCAGUAAGUUAAUACCUUGCUGUUUUGACGUUACCAACAGAAUAAGCACCGGCUGACUUCGUG
rnacentral:rRNA from 1 species